AUUCCUUCUCAGCCUUUUGGCUAAGAUCAAGUGUAAUAUCUGUUCUUAUCAGUUUAAUUAUUUCUUAUAAUUGGAAAAUUUCUUUAAAACAAAAUUCUUCUAAUAUCCAGU
ensembl:snRNA U2 U2 spliceosomal RNA